GAUGAAGAACGCAGCGAAAUGCGAUAAGUAAUGUGAAUUGCAGAAUUCAGUGAAUCAUCGAAUCUUUGAACGCACAUUGCGCCCUCUGGUAUUCCGGGGGGCAUGCCUGUUCGAGCGUCAUUAUAACCACUCAAGCUCUCGCUUGGUAUUGGGGUUCGCGGUUCCGCGGCCCCUAAAAUCAGUGGCGGUGCCUGUCGGCUCUACGCGUAGUAAUACUCCUCGCGAUUGAGUCCGGUAGGUCUACUUGCCAGCAACCCCCAAUUUUUACAGGUUGACCUCGGAUCAGGUAGGGAUACCCGCUGAACUUAAGCAUAUCAUUAAGCGGAGGA
rnacentral:misc_RNA from 1 species